AGUCAGUCAGUGGAUGACCGGGCUCUGUUGAUGAGCCCGACUGCCGAAGGGAAGAAACUGUUCGUGUGGCGGGAGGUCUUAGCCCUGAAGGGACCUCAGCCUCCUUCCAGAUGGAAGGGGCACAAACAGGUUUUGUCUGGGGUGAGAGGGGUCGGCUACGAUCUUUUGGGCUUGUGUGGCAGUAUGCAGUGAUUGGUCCUAAUAACUUUCAGCUGGGUCUGGAUCACAGCCAAUCGCUGCAUGACAAUGCGGUACAAAGGCGGCCUCAGAGCACCUGUCUGCAUUUCAUUAGCCAGGCGUCUUUCACGCGGCGCUGUGUGGUGACAGAAGCUCACUGGUGUGGCUGCAUACUACUCUCCACCUGAUGCACUCAAUGUCCGCCGCUGGUAAUUCUCAUGGUAGCGUCGAUCCCUCCGACCCACGCUGUUUGGCUGAAGCGGCCUGACCGGGCAUGGAUCACUGAGCAUCAGCUCUACACCCGCUAACCUGCCAGAGACCAAUGCUUUGCUUAAAUUAACCCUGUUUCUUUGCCUUUUGUUAAAUUAACCCUGUUUGGGUUUGCCUUGUUUUGGCCUCCUAACUAGGUCAAGAAAUAUUUUAACUGUGUACGAGAGACAGGCCUUACUUAUUUGUUUGGAUCCUUUGUUAUUUGUCUGUGUAGCUGAGAGUUUGUCCUGCAGCAGAGACGGGAUGAUGGUGUUGAAGGCAGAGCUGAAGUCCACAAACCGGAUCCUGGCGUAGGUUCCUGGGGAGUCCAGAGGCUGGAGGAUGUAGUUGAGGGCAGAGCUGAAGUCCACAAACCGGAUCCUGGCGUAGGUUCCUGGGGAGUCCAGAGGCUGGAGGAUGUAGUUGAGGGCCAUGUUGACAGCAUCGUCCACAGACCUGUUGAUUCUGUAGGCGAACUGCAGGGGGUCCAGGAGGGGGUCAGUGAGGGUCUUCAGGUGGGACAGGACUAGCCGUUCAAAAGACUUCAUGACUACAGAGGUCAGGGAGGUAGUCAUUGAGUCCUGUGAUCCUGGGCUGCUUGGGAACAGGGAUGAUGGUGGAGGCCUUGAAGCAGGCUGGUACGUGGGGGAGGGGAAGGUGAUACAGAGGCGUGAGCCCCUG
ensembl:lncRNA